rnacentral:tRNA from 1 species
GGGUCUGUAGCUCAGUUGGUUAGAGCAGGGGACUCAUAAUCCCUUGGUCGCUGGUUCAAGUCCAGCCAGACCCACCA